rnacentral:rRNA from 1 species
UGAGGAAUAUUGGUCAAUGGGCGCAAGCCUGAACCAGCCAUGCCGCGUGCAGGAUGAAGCAUCUAUGGUGUGUAAACUGCUUUUGUACGGGAAGAAACCACCCCUCGUGAGGGGUAUUGACGGUACCGUAAGAAUAAGGAUCGGCUAACUCCGUGCCAGCAGCCGCGGUAAUACGGAGGAUCCAAGCGUUAUCCGGAAUCAUUGGGUUUAAAGGGUCCGUAGGCGGGUCUGUAAGUCAGUGGUGAAAUCUCCCCGCUCAACGGGGAAACUGCCAUUGAUACUGUUAGACUUGAAUUACAAGGAAGUAACUAGAAUAUGUAGUGUAGCGGUGAAAUGCUUAGAUAUUACAUGGAAUACCAAUUGCGAAGGCAGGUUACUACUUGUGGAUUGACGCUGAUGGACGAAAGCGUGGGGAGCGAACA